GUAUCCACACCCAUGUCUCCAUCAGGUUGCCACCUUGCCAGUCCAAAAUCACCAACCUUGCAUAUUUUAGCACAAUUCAUUACUGUUAGAAAAUGAAGUGCACAUUUGAUGCACCUGGAAACACACUUCAGAUUCACGGCCUUCGUCUUUUGAAGGCAGAGAACUAACGUACCAGAGGUUCAAAAUCAUGAGUUAUGAGAAUAUUGUUUGGCCUCAUGUCACGGUGGAUGAUACAACCUACUCUGCACUCUUCAUGAAGAUACCUUAACCCACGAGCAGCUCCAACAGCAAUUUUCUGCCGUGCGGACCAUUCUAAUGGAUCCCUUUGCCGCCCUGAUGGAUCAAUAUGCAAUCGAGUAAAAUGUAUUUGAGAAAACGGUUAUGGA
rnacentral:lncRNA from 1 species